UGGUCUCUUAUGCAACGGUAAAUCUUCUGCCCUCCUCCCAAACUAAGCAUAGUGUUUUUGUCACGUAUUUACGUAAUAUACACUGAUCAUGUAAAAAAAAAAGUUACUUUUAUUUCAAUUUUAUUGAUUAUAACAAGUUAUAACUCUUAUUUUCAUAUUAGGUUUGUUAGGAAGAGUUAUCUGUUGUUAUUGUAGGUUAACUAAUAAAUUCAUACAGUGUAGUACGUAUAACUUAAACUCUUGCUUUUUUUAUGGGAUUGAAAUUAAUUUAUAUGUGUUGUUUAAAAAUAAAUUAUAGGGAAGGGGGAAUGUCCACCAGUGGUGACACAGCAUCAAACAGGUGAGAAGAAGGGGAAUUUUUGGGAAUGGAAUGUGACAAUAGCAAAUCCAUGUCCUUGUGCCCAGAGAUAUGUUACUCUAUCUUGUCGUGGAUUGAAUUCUCAAGAAAGAAUAGAUACAAAUGUGGUGACUAUUUCAAACAAUUUGUGCUUCAUUAAUUCUAAUACUGGUGCUGACAUUGCUCCAUUUAGUCAAGUUAGCUUCGUUUAUGUAUGGCAGUACAACCGAAUUAAAUUGAUCCGUCAUGAGGAAAUCUGUA
rnacentral:lncRNA from 1 species